UCUUUUGAGUUGCCCAUACUUGCAAUGGACCACGAGCUUCCAGUUCAAUGACAUCUUUUGAUGAUUCAGUGUGAGAGUGGCCAUUCUCCAAUAUAAGCCAUCGUCCAGAUAAUGUACCCUUAAAAUAGUAAAGAUACCGAAUGGUAGCACCACGAUAAGAUGGUGGUAUAAUGCUAGGCAGCACAGUUCGCAACACAUAUGUUUUUGUGGCCCCAGAGGACAAAAUUUGAUUAGAAACCAUUGAUGAUGUUGAGCAGUCCAUAAAAACAUGUUCACCUCUCCGCUGUCCAGAUCCAGGCAACGGCUUCUGAGUAGCAAACCACUGAGGAUC
rnacentral:misc_RNA from 1 species